rnacentral:lncRNA from 1 species
AGCUCGACAAGUGGGCGAUCUACCUGCUAGCACGGGACCGCAGUAAGGUGAAGGUGAGCCGACAUCUAUGACAUUCUAAAUUGCUCUGUAGCAAGCCAAGGUGACACAAAUACAACGUUCAAAGACAGAACAGUGAAAAGAUGGUUAGAUACUGCAGCCACGAGAAUCAAUGAAGCUUACGUUGCCAACGCUACAGAUAGUGGACCCAGCAUAAAGACGUAUUACAUCACAGCGUUAUAUUUUACGUUUACGUCACUGACGUCAAUAGGAUUCGGAAACGUGUCACCAAAUACUAAUGGAAUUGACAUGCCGGUAAAGAUGAUAUAUUUGGUGGUGACUGCAGUGACGUGGAAUGCUCGG